UUAAGCGACUAAGCGUACACGGUGGAUGCCCUGGCAGUCAGAGGCGAUGAAGGACGUGCUAAUCUGCGAAAAGCGUCGGUAAGGUGAUAUGAACCGUUAUAACCGGCGAUGUCCGAAUGGGGAAACCCAGUGCAAUUCGUUGCACUAUCGUUAACUGAAUACAUAGGUUAACGAGGCGAACCGGGGGAACUGAAACAUCUAAGUACCCCGAGGAAAAGAAAUCAACCGAGAUUCCCCCAGUAGCGGCGAGCGAACGGGGAGCAGCCCAGAGUCUGAAUCAGCUUGUGUGUUAGUGGAACGGUCUGGAAAGUCCGACGGUACAGGGUGAUAGUCCCGUACACCAAAAUGCACAGGUUGUGAACUCGAAGAGUAGGGCGGGACACGUGGUAUCCUGUCUGAAUAUGGGGGGACCAUCCUCCAAGGCUAAAUACUCCUGACUGACCGAUAGUGAACCAGUACCGUGAGGGAAAGGCGAAAAGAACCCCGGCGAGGGGAGUGAAAAAGAACCUGAAACCGUGUACGUACAAGCAGUGGGAGCACCUUCGGGUGUGACUGCGUACCUUUUGUAUAAUGGGUCAGCGACUUAUAUUCUGUAGCAAGGUUAACCGUAUAGGGGAGCCGCAGGGAAACCGAGUCUUAACUGGGCGUUAAGUUGCAGGGUAUAGACCCGAAACCCGGUGAUCUAGCCAUGGGCAGGUUGAAGGUUGGGUAACACUAACUGGAGGACCGAACCGACUAAUGUUGAAAAAUUAGCGGAUGACUUGUGGCUGGGGGUGAAAGGCCAAUCAAACCGGGAGAUAGCUGGUUCUCCCCGAAAGCUAUUUAGGUAGCGCCUCGUGAACUCAUCUUCGGGGGUAGAGCACUGUUUCGGCUAGGGGGUCAUCCCGACUUACCAACCCGAUGCAAACUACGAAUACCGAAGAAUGUUAUCACGGGAGACACACGGCGGGUGCUAACGUCCGUCGUGAAGAGGGAAACAACCCAGACCGCCAGCUAAGGUCCCAAAGUCAUGGUUAAGUGGGAAACGAUGUGGGAAGGCACAGACAGCCAGGAUGUUGGCUUAGAAGCAGCCAUCAUUUAAAGAAAGCGUAAUAGCUCACUGGUCGAGUCGGCCUGCGCGGAAGAUGUAACGGGGCUAAACCAUGCACCGAAGCUGCGGCAGCGACACNNNNNNNNNNNNNNNNNNNNNNNNNNNNNNNNNCCUGUGAGGGUUGCUGGAGGUAUCAGAAGUGCGAAUGCUGACAUAAGUAACGAUAAAGCGGGUGAAAAGCCCGCUCGCCGGAAGACCAAGGGUUCCUGUCCAACGUUAAUCGGGGCAGGGUGAGUCGACCCCUAAGGCGAGGCCGAAAGGCGUAGUCGAUGGGAAACAGGUUAAUAUUCCUGUACUUGGUGUUACUGCGAAGGGGGGACGGAGAAGGCUAUGUUAGCCGGGCGACGGUUGUCCCGGUUUAAGCAUGUAGGCUGGUUAUCCAGGCAAAUCCGGAUAAUCAAGGCUGAGGUGUGAUGACGAGGCACUACGGUGCUGAAGUAACAAAUGCCCUGCUUCCAGGAAAAGCCUCUAAGCAUCAGGUAACAUCAAAUCGUACCCCAAACCGACACAGGUGGUCAGGUAGAGAAUACCAAGGCGCUUGAGAGAACUCGGGUGAAGGAACUAGGCAAAAUGGUGCCGUAACUUCGGGAGAAGGCACGCUGGUGUGUAGGUGAAGUCCCUGCGGAUGGAGCUGAGACCAGUCGAAGAUACCAGCUGGCUGCAACUGUUUAUUAAAAACACAGCACUGUGCAAACACGAAAGUGGACGUAUACGGUGUGACGCCUGCCCGGUGCCGGAAGGUUAAUUGAUGGGGUUAUCCGUAAGGAGAAGCUCUUGAUCGAAGCCCCGGUAAACGGCGGCCGUAACUAUAACGGUCCUAAGGUAGCGAAAUUCCUUGUCGGGUAAGUUCCGACCUGCACGAAUGGCGUAAUGAUGGCCAGGCUGUCUCCACCCGAGACUCAGUGAAAUUGAACUCGCUGUGAAGAUGCAGUGUACCCGCGGCAAGACGGAAAGACCCCGUGAACCUUUACUAUAGCUUGACACUGAACAUUGAGCCUUGAUGUGUAGGAUAGGUGGGAGGCUUUGAAGCGUGGACGCCAGUCUGCGUGGAGCCAACCUUGAAAUACCACCCUUUAAUGUUUGAUGUUCUAACGUGGGCCCCUGACCGGGGUUGCGGACAGUGUCUGGUGGGUAGUUUGACUGGGGCGGUCUCCUCCCAAAGCGUAACGGAGGAGCACGAAGGUUAGCUAAUCCUGGUCGGACAUCAGGAGGUUAGUGCAAUGGCAUAAGCUAGCUUGACUGCGAGCGUGACGGCGCGAGCAGGUGCGAAAGCAGGUCAUAGUGAUCCGGUGGUUCUGAAUGGAAGGGCCAUCGCUCAACGGAUAAAAGGUACUCCGGGGAUAACAGGCUGAUACCGCCCAAGAGUUCAUAUCGACGGCGGUGUUUGGCACCUCGAUGUCGGCUCAUCACAUCCUGGGGCUGAAGUAGGUCCCAAGGGUAUGGCUGUUCGCCAUUUAAAGUGGUACGCGAGCUGGGUUUAGAACGUCGUGAGACAGUUCGGUCCCUAUCUGCCGUGGGCGCUGGAGAAUUGAGGGGGGCUGCUCCUAGUACGAGAGGACCGGAGUGGACGCAUCACUGGUGUUCGGGUUGUCAUGCCAAUGGCACUGCCCGGUAGCUAAAUGCGGAAGAGAUAAGUGCUGAAAGCAUCUAAGCACGAAACUUGCCCCGAGAUGAGUUCUCCCUGAGACUUUAAGUCUCCUGAAGGAACGUUGAAGACGACGACGUUGAUAGGCCGGGUGUGUAAGCGCAGCGAUGCGUUGAGCUAACCGGUACUAAUGAACCGUGAGGCUUAACCUU
rnacentral:rRNA from 2 species